AGUACCUUGCUACUUUGCUGACGAGCGGCGGACGGGUGAGUAGUGCUUGAGAACAUGCCUUGAUGUGGGAGACAACAUUUGGAAACGAGUGCUAAUACCGCAUAGUGUCUACGGACCAGGGGGGUCUUCCUCUCUCGCCUUUAUAUUGCCCCAUGUGAUAUUAUCUAUUUGGAGAGGUAGUGUCUCACCAGGGAGAAGAUCCCUAUCUGUUUUGAGAGGAUGAUCACCCACUGUGACAGUGACACACGGCCCACACUCCUACGAGAGGCAGCAGUGGAAAAUAUUGCACAGUGGGCGCAACCCUGAUGCACCCAUGCCGCGUGUGUGAAAAAGGCCUUCGUUUUGUAGAGCUCUUUCACUCAAGAAGAAAGGUUAAUAGUUAAUACGUGCUAUCUGUGACGUUACUGACAGAAGAAGCACCGUCUAUCUCCGUGCCAGCACCCGCGAUAAUACAGAGGGUGCGAGCGUUACUCGGAUUUACUGCGCGUAGAGCGUACGCACGCGGUUUGUUAAGCGAUAUGUGAAAGCCCCGGUCUCAAUCUGAGAUCUGCAUUUCAAACUGGCAAUCUAGAGUGUGAUAGAGGGUGAUAAAAUUUCAUGUGUAGCGGUGAUAUGCAUAGAGAUCUGAGAGAAUACCGAUGGCGAACGCAGCCAUCUGUCUCAACACUGACGCUCAUGUACGAAAGCGUGGAGAGCAAACAGGAUUAUAUACUCUGAUAGUCCACGCCGUACGCGAUGUCUACUAAAAUCUCGAAAUCUCGUCUCUGUUUUUCAGAGCUAGCGCAUUAUAUACACCGUCUGGAGAAUACGGCCGCAAGGUUACACUCAUAUGAAUUGACGGGCGCCCGCACAAGCGGUGGAACAUGUGGUAUAACUCUAUGCAACGCGAAGAAUCUUACCUACUCUUGAUAUACAGAGAUCUUACCAGAUGAUGUUUUGGUGCCUUCGAGCACUCUGAUACAGGUGCUGCAUGGCUGUCGUCAUCUCGUGUUGAGAGAUGUUGGGAUAACUCCCGCAAAGAGCGCACCCAUAUCUUUAUUUCUAACAGGUAUUCUGAAACUCUAAGGACACUGCGGUGAAACCCGGAAAAAGGGGGGACAACUCAAGUCUCGUGCCCUUACUGUAGGGCUCACACGUCCAAAAGGGCCAUAAAAAGUG
rnacentral:rRNA from 1 species